UGCAACCCCAUUCAGCUAGGGCCCCCCUCCCUUCCUACUCUAGGAAGAAGCCGCAACCCUCCCCCUUGUCGCGCCGCCGCUCUCCCCCAACCACCUCGCCGGCAAACAGGUGAUGUCCGACCUGUCGCCCUCGCACCUGGCACCUCCCACCUCCCACCUCUCGGCCUCACCUCCCAUGGACCCUGCGCCAUUGUCUUUUCAUCCCACUAUCGUACUCGCAUGCCACGACCGCCCUACUCGAAGGCCACGAACCCUGCCGUGGUUGUCGAAGCCGGCCAAGUCUGGCGGUGACUAACAUCAGAAGGUAGAGCGACCGGCCCACGUUGGACGAUCUGUUGUCCGAGAGGUGCAGCUAGGGAAAGCAAAAGGUCAAGGUGAACAACGCGGUCCUCUUGGAGGACAAGCUACUGUCUGAGUUGAGUACAAGCAAAUUUCGUUCCGGUCUGCUAGUUGUAGAGGUGGAGUAAGUGAACGCAAAACGAGGUGAACAGCGCGGUGCUCUUAGACCGGCUCACUUAGGGCAAGCUGUCCCGACUCCCGAGGUGGUAAAUCUGAUAUUUCUUCAAGCUCUGUUCGAAGUGAAAGCAGAUCGACCCUCCAUAAUCUCCAAUAUCCUUCUCUGACAGUAUUUGGGUCAAUGGGUCCCUGGCUUUUAUCUCAAGGAUCUGAUUGAUCGUGAACUAAUCUGCAAGGCUUUGCUUCACCGAAGCCAGCAAAUCUACAUCCAGGAAUCCACCACCUAAGGGAAUUAUUCAGGCUUUGGUCGCUGCAGAGGUGCAGCUAGCGAAAGCAAAAGGUGAAGGUUAACAAAGCGGUCCUCUUGGAGGACAAGCUGUUGUGUGAGGUGCAAAGGUGGAGCAAGGGAAAAAGCAAAAUGAGGUGAACCUUGCGGUGCUCUUAGGCAGACCCACUUAGGGCAAGCUCCAAGGUGCCAAGUAGAUCACCCCUUGGUCCCUUCGGGUAUGUUUGGGUCUGUGAGCUUUCUUCAAGCUGUUGUCUGAAGUGAAAGCAGAUCGCCCCUCCAUCAUCUCCAGUAUACUUCUCUGAUAGGCUUCUGGGCCCAUUGAUCAAUGGAUCUAAUUGUUCUCAUUGUGAACUAAUCUGCAAGGCCAAUUUCAGGCUUCACUGAAGCCAACAAAUCUACAUCCAGGUAACCACCACCUAAGGGUUUGAAAAUCUACCUUAGAACAUUUAAUCUUUAUCCAGUUUGCUCAUGUUUUGUUGAUUGAGGCACUUGAACAUUUCAUAGAGUAGUUUAGGUUCUUUGCUUGUUUAUCUUUUAUGUACUGCUGUGUCUCGCAAUAGCUCAUUUUCAUUGAUGAAUUCAUGACAUAAUGAUUUUGAAAUUUUCUGGAAUAGUUUGCGUGUUUAUCGAAUCAAAAUUCACAAAUGUGAACCCUGAAACUCACGUGGUGGUGUACCACUAAAAUUGAAGCGAAGCUGUUGUAGGUCGUCAGCUUGGCAGUGAACUGUUUAGUUACUUUCAAGCAUGUAAGUGCAUCUAGUGCCCCUUAGUGAUUUUGGUGUAUUGAAGACUUAUAGGUUAAGGGACUAAUGUGUUUAUGAGUG